CCCCGUGGGAGCAGUCAGAUAUUCACUUUCCUGGCCUUCCUAUAGCUGAGGUCGAGGAAUGUGACUUGGGCUUUGCCAACGCUCUCAAGAUGGAGACUCAGGAAAGAGCACCGUGAGGGUGCAGACACUGCAAUGUACAGAGGCUGUUCCUGGACAGGCGGUAGCAAGGAAGAUGGGGUUUCUACCUGGCCAGCGCCAUGACACCUGCACAUGUGGUGACAAGGAAAAGGGAAGAGAAAACCUCCAUGUUGGAUGCUUCUGGCACGGCUGCCGGCAUUCACAAUAAAAAGUGAUUAAAAAAAAUACCAGCUACCUGUGUUCAUUGGAAGAGAGCAUAGUUGUGGGGAAAAAUAAGACUUUUGAGCCAGAUAAACCUGGAUUCAAAGGAUUAUGGAUUAUGGAUCUCUGGAAUAAAAACAUUUAGUGUCACAGCAAAAGAAGUUUUGAGUUUAUAUACAAAUUAAGUAAAAGACUAAUUUUGGUUUUGAAAAACUCGUUCUCUAAACUUUUACAGGAAGUUUAAAUAAAUUACAUCAUGAACAAAACUGCAGUAUGCCAGUUCCUAUCCUCAUGACCUCACGAUUCUGCCUGAGCUCCACAUCAAUGAAAGGAAAAUCGGAUAAUGAAGCACUUAGUCUAAUAUCUCAAUAGCAACCACCAAUUAGGAUUACUUUUUAGAAAAGAAAAAAAAACCUAACCUUAUAUGUAAAUGUAUCUAGUGUGCAAAUGACAUAAUGCUUAUAUGUAUGUAAAUCUAUCUAGUGUGCAAAUGACUUAAUGCCGGGGUGGGUAAACUGUGGCCGAGAGUACCCCAAAUCCAGCCCACUCCUGCUUUUGUAAUAAUUCACCAGCUAAGAAAUGUUUUCAUAUUUUUUUAAUAAUUGGGAAAAAUAUAUACAUUUUGUGACACGUGAAAAACCACACAAAAUUCAAAUGUCA
rnacentral:lncRNA from 10 species